UUUUCAGACAUUUCUAUAACAAAAACAAACUGCAAAUUUUUUGUAAUCUUCACUCUCUCUCUCUCUCUCUCUCUCUCUCUCUCUCUCUCUGUUUAACUGGUCAAAUUAUUAGUGUAAUGCCAAUGCUCUAUUAUCCAUUCUAAUAUAUGCAUCAAAAUGUUAAUGUGUGCAGAUGUAUCGGACAGUGAAAACCACCGAUAAAGCAGCGCCCUCUUCAGGACAAUCUGAUGUGUAUGAAAAUGCUUCAUCUGGGGGGACACCACUGAAGACAUAAUGCUUGACCUUCAGAACCCAAGAAGGUCGUCUUGUGAUCAGCUCUCACCAGCUCAGCAGCAGCAGGGAUCAAGAUCCACUCCUCAGGUUCAAGAUAA